rnacentral:rRNA from 1 species
GACGAACGCUGGCGGCGUGCUUAACACAUGCAAGUCGAACGGAAAGGCCCUGCUUGCAGGGUACUCGAGUGGCGAACGGGUGAGUAACACGUGGGUGAUCUGCCCUGCACUUCGGGAUAAGCCUGGGAAACUGGGUCUAAUACCGGAUAGGAGCCAUUUUUAGUGUGAUGGUUGGAAAGUUUUUUCGGUGUAGGAUGAGCUCGCGGCCUAUCAGCUUGUUGGUGGGGUAAUGGCCUACCAAGGCGGCGACGGGUAGCCGGCCUGAGAGGGUGGACGGCCACCUUGGGACUUAGAUACGGGCCAGAAGCCUACCGGAGGCAGCAGGGGGGAAUAUUUCACAAUGGGGGCAAGCCUGAUGCAGCGACGCCGCGUGGGGGAUGACGGCCUUCGGGUUGUAAACUCCUUUCGCUAGGGACGAAGCUUUUGUGACGGUACCUAGAUAAGAAGCACCGGCUAACUACGUG